GGGAUCAUUGGAUUAUGAAUUUAAAGGCAAACCUAAAACAAGGAGCUGGAGAUAUAAAUACUAUUGGUCAGAGUCAAAAUGUAGUCUAAAAUUGAGAGAGGCAAUCCAAAAAGAAAAAGUGAAGAGUUGAUUCCUGUGAAUCUUAAAAACUGCUCAAACUCUACCUUAAAACAUUUGGUUAAGGCUAUUUCCCAUUUUAAACAAUGAAGGUACUUAGUAAGGAAUGUAUCAGGAACUUUAAAAUUACUCCAUGCAUACUUAGGCAUACUUUAGGGGAAGAUAAAGUUGUAAAACUCCUUAGUGAACAAUGAAGGUACUUAACUCAUACUUAUAGUGAGGCCAAAAGCCCUUAAGCUAGGUCUAUUUUUAGAUCUAAUACAAAAGGGUGCUAAGUACCUGUGAAGGGCAAAUUAAUCACUAAAAGGUCAGGCAACUUGCAAGGGACAAUCUUAGCAAAGAGGUGUGACAUACUCAGAUGCUUUAGUCUACCCAGAGUAGGUGGUAACAAGAUGUGAAUUAAGAAUGGUCAGUCCUUUGGAAAACAUCUACUGUGGUUGGUAGAUGUGAAAAUUUAGGGGAGGUGACAUAGGAGAAAAUUUUCUUUAAAAGGAGGUCAGGGGCCUCUGGACUUAGUUCAUCUUAGGAAGCUGAAUUGGAGUCUUUCGGUGGCUGAACUCAGUUGAGCUCAGGAGCUGAACUGGAGGGUCUCUCUGAACACUAGAGUUUUGCUUGGGACAAUCUUGUGAGAAGGGGUUUGAUUCUGAAGCCCUGUGGCUCAGAACAGCUGGCUAAGGAACACUGUCAUCUUUCCUUACCAGAUCUUCAAGGAAGAAGCUUGCUAACUCCUAAAUCCAGAGAAUGAACUGUUACAGAAAGAUGCCAGAAAACCCACACUACAUCAAGAAGAUCCAGAAUGAACUUUGGGUUUGGUUGAUUGAACUGAAGUUUGAUUGAACAUUUAUCGUAAAUGCACAAUUUUAUGACAAGGGGACUACCCCUAUUUUGGCUUUCUGUCAAUGCGCCUAGCAAAACAUUAGUUUUGCUUUCUUUCUUUUCUAUUCCUUCCUCACUACUGUAAUUUCCUCUUAGAAAACUGAAUAUUGUAUACAUCUGUAGUUAGAAGUGUGUUUAGGACUACAAGAUGAUUAUGUUAAAUGAUCAAUGGGCAGACUAGUCUCCCAAUGAUCAUCAGGGGGAAUUGUGAAUCUUAAAACUGCUCAGACUCUACUACAGAAGAUUUGAUUAAGCUAUUCCCCAUUUUCUACAAUGGAGGUACUUGGUCAGGAAUGUAUUGAGAACUUUAAAAUUACUCCACCCUGCUCAGACAGUGCCUUAUGGAAAGAUAAAGUUGUAAACUCCUGACUGGACAGUGAAACAUCCCUAACUCAUGCUUAUAGUGAAGCAAAAACCCUAAACUAGGUGGUCUAUUUUUAGAUCUAAUACAAAAGGGUGUUAAGUACCUAUAAAGGUUAAAUUAAUCACUAAAAGGUCAAGCAACUUACAGAAGGCAAGCUUAACAAAAGAGGUGUGAAGUUUUAGUCUAACCAGAGAAGGUGAUAACCAAAGAAGAUAGGAACUGAGAAU